rnacentral:rRNA from 1 species
GAUGAACGCUGGCGGCGUGCCUAAUACAUGCAAGUCGAGCGAACGGACGAGAAGCUUGCUUCUCUGAUGUUAGCGGCGGACGGGUGAGUAACACGUGGAUAACCUACCUAUAAGACUGGGAUAACUUCGGGAAACCGUAGCUAAUACCGGAUAAUAUUUUGAACCGCAUGGUUCAAAAGUGAAAGACGGUCUUGCUGUCACUUAUAGAUGGAUCCGCGCUGCAUUAGCUAGUUGGUAAGGUAACGGCUUACCAAGGCAACGAUGCAUAGCCGACCUGAGAGGGUGAGCGCCCACUGGAACUGAGACACGGUCCAGACUCCUACGGGAGGCAGCAGUAGGGAAUCUUCCGCAAUGGGCGAAAGCCUGACGGAGCAACGCCGCGUGAGUGAUGAAGGUCUUCGGAUCGUAAAACUCUGUUAUUAGGGAAGAACAUAUGUGUAAGUAACUGUGCACAUCUUGACGGUACCUAAUCAGAAAGCCACGGCUAACUACGUG